UACGGAGGGAGCUAGCGUUGUUCGGAUUUACUGGGCGUAAAGCGCACGUAGGCGGAUCGUUAAGUCGGGGGUGAAAUCCUGGAGCUCAACUCCAGAACUGCCUUCGAUACUGGCGAUCUUGAGUUCGGAAGAGGUGAGUGGAACUCCUAGUGUAGAGGUGGAAUUCGUAGAUAUUAGGAAGAACACCAGUGGCGAAGGCGGCUCACUGGUCCGGUACUGACGCUGAGGUGCGAAAGCGUGGGGAGCAAACAGG
rnacentral:rRNA from 1 species